rnacentral:lncRNA from 1 species
CAGUCCCCAAGGGGACCACAUAGCCUCCUCCCCCGUACAGGGUUUGUGCUGCUUCCUUGUGUAGAAAGCUCCCUGGUGCCUCUUCUCCAUGAGGAUAAACGUGAUCGAUAGAGCUCUCCCACAACCUCCCCUCCCUGUCCCUCUCUUCCACACAGCUCCACACCCGCCCUUCACUCAGGUACCCCACAGUACUCACACCCAACACCUUGCAGUUGCUUGGACUUUGCAGUUCCGUGGUAUGCUGGCUUCGUCACCUCAUGUC